rnacentral:lncRNA from 1 species
CCUCUCUUUUCAUUACAGAAAGCCAUGUUUUAAUAACACAGACCUACUGUCUAGCCCUAUAUAUACCUCUUCAAACACAGUACCUGCUUUGAUUGGCAAAAGAAGACCUGAUGGCCAAAGGAAUAUUGUUAAUCAAUAAUGGGCAGUGCAUGGAGAGAAACCCUGGCAUGGAAUUAGUUAGAAGACUUACUCAAAUUCAAAACCAGUGGAUCCUAGUACAAUUGAUAGUUGCAAUAUGUGGUCCAACAUUUCAUUGUCACAUUUCAAUAAAGACGAAAAAUGAGGACAUACUCCCGGUGCUUCACAUAUGGUUUUGGUGCCAACACUACUCUGUUCAAUGAAGGAGAUGAUCCAGGACUCUGGACUUUCACCCUCUGGGGCCAUGUUGACAGUAGCAGCCCUGAGGGCCUCUGAGUCACCUGAAGAGUUAUUCUUUCCUUUUCUCAAAGGACAAUACAUGUCCACAGCCAAAC